GGCAGCGCGGGGGCAACCCUGGCGGCGAGUGGCGAACGGGUGAGUAAUACAUCGGAACGUGUCCUGGAGUGGGGGAUAGCCCGGCGAAAGCCGGAUUAAUACCGCAUACGCUCUGUGGAGGAAAGCGGGGGAUCUUCGGACCUCGCGCUCAAGGGGCGGCCGAUGGCAGAUUAGCUAGUUGGUGGGGUAAAGGCCUACCAAGGCGACGAUCUGUAGCUGGUCUGAGAGGACGACCAGCCACACUGGGACUGAGACACGGCCCAGACUCCUACGGGAGGCAGCAGUGGGGAAUUUUGGACAAUGGGGGCAACCCUGAUCCAGCAAUGCCGCGUGUGUGAAGAAGGCCUUCGGGUUGUAAAGCACUUUUGUCCGGAAAGAAAACCGCUUCUCUAAUACAGGGGCGGGAUGACGGUACCGGAAGAAUAAGCACCGGCUAACUACGUGCCAGCAGCCGCGGUAAUACGUAGGGUGCAAGCGUUAAUCGGAAUUACUGGGCGUAAAGCGUGCGCAGGCGGUUCGCUAAGACCGAUGUGAAAUCCCCGGGCUUAACCUGGGAACUGCAUUGGUGACUGGCGGGCUAGAGUAUGGCAGAGGGGGGUAGAAUUCCACGUGUAGCAGUGAAAUGCGUAGAGAUGUGGAGGAAUACCGAUGGCGAAGGCAGCCCCCUGGGCCAAUACUGACGCUCAUGCACGAAAGCGUGGGGAGCAAACAGGAUUAGAUACCCUGGUAGUCCACGCCCUAAACGAUGUCAACUAGUUGUCGGGUCUUCAUUGACUUGGUAACGAAGCUAACGCGUGAAGUUGACCGCCUGGGGAGUACGGUCGCAAGAUUAAAACUCAAAGGAAUUU
rnacentral:rRNA from 1 species